rnacentral:rRNA from 1 species
GAUGAACGCUAGCGGCAGGCUUAACACAUGCAAGUCGAGGGGCAGCACAGGUAGCAAUACUGGGUGGCGACCGGCAAACGGGUGCGGAACACGUACACAAUCUGCCUUUAUCUGGGGAAUAGCCCGGAGAAAUUUGGAUUAAUACCCCGUAACAUAACGAUGUGGCAUCACAUUGUUAUUAUAGAUUUUUCGCUUAUUGAUGGGUGUGCGGCUGAUUAGAUAGUUGGCGGGGUAACGGCCCACCAAGUCUACGAUCAGUAGCUGAUGUGAGAGCAUGAUCAGCCAAACGGGCACUGAGACACGGGCCCGACUCCUACGGGAGGCAGCAGUAAGGAAUAUUGGACAAUGGACGCAAGUCUGAUCCAGCCAUGCCGCGUGAAGGAUUAAGGUCCUCUGGAUUGUAAACUUCUUUUAUAAGGGACGAAAAAAGGCUUUUCUAAGUCGUCUGACGGUACCUUAUGAAUAAGCACCGGCUAACUCCGUGCCAGCAGCAGCCGCCGUAA